rnacentral:rRNA from 1 species
CCCUUAGAUGUUCUGGGCUGCACGCGCGCUACACUGAUGCGUUCAACGAGUUUACGACCUUGCCAGACAUGGCUGGGUAAUCUUCUUAAACUGCAUCGUGAUGGGGAUAGAUUAUUGCAAUUAUUGAUCUUCAACGAGGAAUUCCUAGUAAGCGCGAGUCAUCAGCUCGUGCUGAUUACGUCCCUGCCCUUUGUACACACCGCCCGUCGCUCCUACCGAUUGAAUGGUCCGGUGAAGCGUUCGGACCGUGGCCUUUGGACGGUUCGCCGUCUGUUGGCUGCGGGAAGUUCGUUAAACCUUAUCAUUUAGAGGAAGGAGAAGUCGUAACA